rnacentral:rRNA from 1 species
CAGUCGCCGCGGGAAUACGUAGGUGGCAAGCGUUGUCCGGAAUUAUUGGGCGUAAAGGGCUCGCAGGCGGUUUCUUAAGUCUGAUGUGAAAGCCCCCGGCUCAACCGGGGAGGGUCAUUGGAAACUGGGAAACUUGAGUGCAGAAGAGGAGAGUGGAAUUCCACGUGUAGCGGUGAAAUGCGUAGAGAUGUGGAGGAACACCAGUGGCGAAGGCGACUCUCUGGUCUGUAACUGACGCUGAGGAGCGAAAGCGUGGGGAGCGAACAGGAUUAGAUACCCGUGUAGUCCCUGUCUCUUAUAA